GUACCUGUAGCUCAGUUGGUUAGAGCGUCGGUUUGAAAGUCCGAAGGUCGCGAGUUCGAAUCUCGCUGGGUACAC
rnacentral:tRNA from 1 species